rnacentral:rRNA from 1 species
AUGCACAGCCAGACAAAACUUGGGGAGUUGGGGUUUGAGUGCACGACAUGUUCGCAGUACAUGGCAGGAACAAUUACGAUGCUACGAGUACCAAUUUCGAGUAUAUCACGAAAACAUGCUACUAAAACACAAAGGGAAGUGUGCUGUUUUGAGAUGGAAUAUAAUAGACCACAACAACAGAAAUAUAGGAAAUCGAGUUUACGGGGCUGUUUGGUUCUAGGCCUAACCAUGCCACACUUUGCCAUACAAUGUUGCCACACUUGUCUAAGGUUAGUUCUUCAAAAUGAGAGCCACAAGUUGGCAAGCCUAAGGGAAUCUUGCUACAUUUUUUGA